CUCUUUGUAUUUCUGCCGGCAUAAAUUCAACCAAAAUCAAUUAACCACUACCCAAUAUAGAAACAAAGAUAAAAGACCCAUGCCAAGAAUAUCAACUAUUAAUAAAUAAAAUGGCCUGAAUGAAGAAAUUUCCCCAGAGAAAAAAGAAAGAAGAAGAGCAGAAUGGAGAAGGAGGAGGAGGUCCGUAGAAUGGACAAACCUAAUACUUGUCGUUCCAGUUUCUGAGUUUCCAUCAAAGCAGAUUGACCUUAACAAAAAUUGUACCAUAAGAGAACCAAAGAAAUGACGGUACAGUAAUUGUGUCUAUAAGAUUGAUAUAAAAAUAUAUAUGAGAUCAAAUCAAUUAUAUCAUUAUGGUAGCGAAGCAAGGGAGCCAGCAUUUGAUAAACACAGUUCGACUUGCAAUUUUGGCAUCCAAAUUCUUACUAAUCGAAUCAUCAAAAUGUUAAUUUCUCUUCAGCCUCGCCCAAAUUUAAAACAGCUGAAUCUUU
rnacentral:lncRNA from 1 species